AUUAUGGACAUGCCAAUAAAAUGUAUCUCAUUUCUAAUGAAACACAGAGAUUAGCACAGCCCCUAUAAAAGGAUGACAUGCAAAUUCGUGAAGCAUUCCAUAAAAUU